rnacentral:rRNA from 1 species
CCUACGGGCGGCAGCAGUGAGGAAUAUUGGUCAAUGGGCGUAAGCCUGAACCAGCCAAGUCGCGUGAGGGAUGAAGGUUCUAUGGAUCGUAAACCUCUUUUAUAAGGGAAUAAAGUGUGGGACGUGUCCUAUUUUGUAUGUACCUUAUGAAUAAGGAUCGGCUAACUCCGUGCCAGCAGCCGCGGUAAUACGGAGGAUCCGAGCGUUAUACGGAUUUAUUGGGUUUAAAGGGUGCGUAGGCGGCCUUAUAAGUCAGCGGUGAAAGUCUGUGGCUCAACCAUAGAAUUGCCGUUGAAACUGGGGGGCUUGAGUAUGUUAGAGGCAGGUGGAAUGCGUGGUGUAGCGGUGAAAUGCGUAGAUAUCACGCAGAACCCCGAUUGCGAAGGCAGCCUGCCAAGCCAUGACUGACGCUGAGGCACGAAAGCGUGGGGAUCAAACAGGAUUAGAUACCCCAGUAGUC